rnacentral:misc_RNA from 1 species
AUCAAGAGCUUGUGAAUGCACCAUCAUCUGCUGUAGCUGCACCAGCUGCGAAGGGCAAGGUCGCACAAGUGGAAACAACUGGGAAUGAUGACAGUGGGAUAGAUAGUGAAUUACAGGCAAGGUUAGAUAAUUUAAGAAGGAUGUAAUCUUGUUACACUUGUAAAAUAAUUAAAUCAACACAACUGUGAAAGGAUCAUUAGUUUGGGCUGUGUAGCAUGGGUGAAAAUUGUCCCAGGAUUUAACUCCUGGUUUUGGGGAGAAGUGGAAGUUGUAUGAAGUAUU